rnacentral:snoRNA from 1 species
UUAGCAUGAUGAGUAACUAGAUAGGGACAACAGAUAUCCUUUAAGUGACGAGGAAAGUCUAUUUAAAUGCCCAGUUUUUAGUAGAGCUUGGGCGCAAAACCUGAUC